rnacentral:rRNA from 1 species
GACGAACGCUGGCGGCGUGCUUAACACAUGCCAGUCGAACGACGUGGAGCAAGGGUGAGAAAUACGUGGGGAACAUGCCCUCCUUUGUGGUAUAAGCCUUGGAAACGGGGUCUAAUACCGAAUAAAGGGGGAUGGGCUCUCGGCCUAUCAGCUUGUUGGUGGGGUGAUGGCCUACCAAGGCGGUGACGGGUAGCCGGCCUGAGAGGGUGACCGGCCACAUGGUGACGGUGAUACGGUCCAGAUGGCUAAGUUGGGCAGCAUGGGGGGAGAGUGAACAAUGGGCUAAAGGCUGAUGCAGCGACGACGCGGGGGGGAUGAAGGCUUUCGGGUUUUAAACCUCUUUCGCUAUCGAACGGGUAGGUGGAGAAGAAGCGCCGGCUAACUACGUGCCAGCAGCCGCGGUAAUAC